GGCCUAAACUCUGCGGUUUUUGCUGUUGGGCAUGGCCUGAAAUCUCGUUGAAAAUACUAAACUCCACGUUUAGCGACUUUUCAACGAGUCAUAUCGGGAAACCGGUAUGGGGCGGCAACGCCC
rnacentral:sRNA from 1 species